rnacentral:misc_RNA from 1 species
AAGUCGUAACAAGGUUUCCGUAGGUGAACCUGCGGAAGGAUCAUUACCACACCUCUUUUGUCCGAUUGACUAUUCCGCUUCGGUGGGAUCGGAUAUCGGACAGAAAACAAUGGAAAGUGAAGAGCCUCGGCUCGGAUCCGACUAUUGCGUCCCACGUAACUAAACUUAAACUUGUGGUGUCAUUAGACGCCCAUUUUUAUAAAUAACAUUUCAAAUGUUGACCUGAUUAUAAUUUUCACUAAUUAGAGUCUUGUGUUUAUUCACUCGCUCUAUCAAAAUUAAUGAAAAAACACUUUCAGCAACGGAUGUCUUGGCUCCCAU